rnacentral:rRNA from 1 species
UGGGGAAUAUUGCACAAUUGGCGCAAGCCUGAUGCAGCCAUGCCGCGUGUAUGAAGAAGGCCUUCGGGUUGUAAAGUACUUUCAGCGGGGAGGAAGGGAGUAAAGUUAAUACCUUUGCUCAUUGACGUUACCCGCAGAAGAAGCACCGUCUAACUCCGUGCCAGCAGCCUCGGUAAUACGGAGGGUGCAAGCGUUAAUCGGGAUUACUGGGCGUAAAGCGCACGCAGGCGGUUUGUUAAGUCAGAUGUGAAAUCCCCGGGCUCAACCUGGGAAAUGCAUCUGAUACUGGAAAGCUUGAGUCUCGUAGAGGGGGGUAGAAUUCCAGGUGUAGCGGUGAAUUGCGUAGAGAUCUGGAGGAAUAACGGUGGCGAAGGCGGCCCCCUGGACGAAGACUGACGCUCAGGUGCGAAAGCAUGGGAAGCAAACAGG